rnacentral:rRNA from 1 species
UACGUAGGGUGCAAGCGUUAAUCGGAAUUACUGGGCGUAAAGCGUGCGCAGGCGGUUUUGUAAGUCUGUCGUGAAAUCCCCGGGCUCAACCUGGGAAUUGCGAUGGAGACUGCAAGGCUAGAAUCUGGCAGAGGGGGGUAGAAUUCCACGUGUAGCAGUGAAAUGCGUAGAGAUGUGGAGGAACACCGAUGGCGAAGGCAGCCCCCUGGGUCAAGAUUGACGCUCAUGCACGAAAGCGUGGGGAGCGAAUGGG